GUUGGUUGUUUUUUGGGGCGUUCGGUGGAUGCCUUGGUACCAGGGGCCGAUGAAAGGCGUGGUGGACUGCGAUAUUCCUCGGGGAGUUGUCGAGCGGGCUUUGAUCCGAGGGUGCCUGAAUGGGGGAACCCGGCCAGUUUUGUUGCUGGUCACCAAUCUCUGAAUUGAUAGGGGGUUGGGGGGAACGUGGGGAAGUGAAACAUCUUAGUACCUGCAGGAGAAGAUAUUCCGUGAGUAGUGGCGAGCGAAAGCGGAUUUAUGGCUAAACUCUACUGGUGUCAAGCGUGCGGGCGUUGCUGGUGGGGUGUUGUGGGGUCGCAUGCUGCUUUCCGCAUGGGAGCAGGGCUUUUAGCGUGUUUUGAGUUGAACUGUCUGGGAUGGCAGGCCGUAGAGGGUGAUAGCCCCGUAGGUGGUUGGAAUGCGUUUGGGUUGGUGCGUGUCCCCGAGUAGGGACGGACUCGUGUAAUCUGUCUUGAAUCUGCAAAGACCUCUUUGUAAGCCUGAAUACUUCCUGGUGACCGAUAGUGUAUUAGUACCGUGAGGGAAUGGUGAAAAGUACCCCGGGAGGGGAGUGAAAUAGUACCUGAAACCGGGCGCUUACGAUCCGUCAGAGCCUUGUGGGGUGAUGGCGUGCCUAUUGAAGAAUGAGCCUGCGAGUUAUGUUGUGUGGCGAGGUUAACCCGUGGUGGGGUAGCCGUAGGGAAAGUCCGAGUCUGAAUAGGGCGUUGAGUCGCAUGAUAUAGACCCGAAGCGGGGUGAUCUACGCUUGGCCAGGUUGAAGCACGUGUAGAAGCGUGUGGAGGACCGAACCCACCUGGGUUGAAAACCGGGGGGAUGAGCUGAGUGUAGGGGUGAAAGGCUAAUCAAACUCCGUGAUAGCUGGUUCUCCCCGAAAUGCAUUUAGGUGCAGCGUUGCGUGUUUCUUGCUGGUGGUAGAGCUACUGGUUGACUGAUGGGCCUUGUUGGUUACUGAGGUCUGCCAAACUCCGAAUGCCGGUUAAGUUAAGCGUGGCAGUGAGACUGCGGGGGAUAAGCUCCGUGGUCGAGAGGGAAACAGCCCAGAUCGUCGACUAAGGCCCCUAAGCGUGCGCUGAGUGGGAAAGGAUGUGGAGUCGCGUAGACAACCAGGAGGUUGGCUUAGAAGCAGCCAUCCUUGAAAGAGUGCGUAAUAGCUCACUGGUCAAGUGGUUCCGCGCCGAUAAUGUAGCGGGGCUUAAGCGUACCGCCGAAGUCGCGGCAUCGACACGUGUACACGGCAGCAUUGAGUGUUGUUAGUGGUGUUGUUGGGUAGGGGAGCGUCCUGCCAGAGUUGAAGUCAGGCUGUGAGGUCUGGUGGAUUUGGUGGGAGUGAGAAUGCAGGCAUGAGUAGCGAGUGGAAAGUGAGAAUCUUUCCCGCUGGAUGACUAAGGGUUCCAGGGCUAGGUUUGUCCGCUCUGGGUGAGUCGGGUCCUAAGGCGAGGCCGACAGGCGUAGUCGAUGGGUGACCGGUUGAUAUUCCGGUACCGGCGAAAAACCGUCAGUGGCGAGGAGCCGUGUGCUAACCAAUGAUGUUUUUCCUAGACAGGUUUUCGGAUUUGUUUGGGUUGGUGUUGUUGGGGUCCCGUGGUUUAGUAGUCAAGCGUGUUAACAGGGGUGACGCAGUGAGGUAGCUGGCGCGUGUCUUAUGGCUUGGCGCGUCUAAGAGUGUGGCCUGUCCCUUAGGGAAAUCCGGGGGGCUGUCUUGAAUGGCGAAGGUGAGGCUUGAUGGUGAGACUGUUUAUGGUUGAAGUUCAGUGUGCCUGUGCUGCCGAGAAAAGCCUCGGCGUUAGGUUUUAGCCGCCCGUACCCUAAACCGACACUGGUAGUCAGGUAGAGAAUACUAAAGCGGACGGGUUAAUCAUGGUUAAGGAACUCGGCAAAAUGCCCCCGUAACUUCGGGAGAAGGGGGACCAUGACUGGUGAUGGCUUUUACGGUUUUGAGUUGGUUGUGGUCGCAGUGAAUAGGGGGAAGCGACUGUUUAUCAAAAACACAGGUGCAUGCUAAGCCGUGAGGCGCUGUAUAUGCACUGACGCCUGCCCGGUGCUGGAAGGUUAAGAGGAACUGUUAGCCUUUUUUGGUGAAGCGGUGAAUUUAAGCCCCAGUAAACGGCGGUGGUAACUAUAACCAUCCUAAGGUAGCGAAAUUCCUUGUCGGGUAAGUUCCGACCUGCACGAAUGGCGUAACGACUUCCCUGCUGUCUCGACCGUGAGCCCGGUGAAAUUGCAUUACGAGUAAAGAUGCUCGUUUCGCGCAGCAGGACGGAGAGACCCCGGGACCUUUACUAUAGCUUGGUAUUGGUGCUCGCUUGCGAUUGUGUAGGAUAGGUGGGAGACUGUGAAGCUGGCACGCUAGUGUUGGUGGAGUCAUUGUUGAAAUACCACUCUGUUGUAAGUGGGUUCCUAACUUAGACCCCUGAUCGGGGUCAGGGACAGUGCCUGGUGGGUAGUUUAACUGGGGCGGUUGCCUCCUAAACGGUAACGGAGGCGCUCAAAGGUUCUCUCAGCCUGGUUGGCAAUCAGGUGUUGAGUGUAAGUGCACAAGAGGGCUUGACUGUGAGACUGACAGGUCGAGCAGGUACGAAAGUAGGAACUAGUGAUCCGGCCAUGGCUUGAGGAAGCGUGGUCGCUCAACGGAUAAAAGGUACCCCGGGGAUAACAGGCUGAUCUUGCCCAAGAGUCCAUAUCGACGGCAUGGUUUGGCACCUCGAUGUCGGCUCGUCGCAUCCUGGGGCUGGAGUUGGUCCCAAGGGUUGGGCUGUUCGCCCAUUAAAGCGGUACGCGAGCUGGGUUCAGAACGUCGUGAGACAGUUCGGUCGCUAUCCGCUGCGUGCGUUGGAGUUUUGAGGAGGCCUGUCCCUAGUACGAGAGGACCGGGACGGACGAACCUCUGGUGUGCCAGUUGUUCUGCCAAGAGCAUGGCUGGUUUGCUACGUUCGGGAGGGAUAACCGCUGAAAGCAUCUAAGCGGGAAGCCUGCUCCAAGAUGAUAACUCCCUCAUCCUUGUGGUGGUGAGGCCCCCUGUAGAUGACGGGGUAGAUAGGCCGGACGUGGAAGCAUGGUGACAUGUGGAGCCUACCGGUACUAAUCGGCCGAUAACAACAACAA
rfam:Mobiluncus mulieris ATCC 35239 genomic scaffold SCAFFOLD2, whole genome shotgun sequence.